GAUCAUGGCUCAGGAUGAACGCUAGCGACAGGCUUAACACAUGCAAGUCGAGGGGCAGCAUAAAAGUAGCAAUACUUGGUGGCGACCGGCGCACGGGUGAGUAACGCGUAUGCAACCUACCUAUCAGAGGGGAAUAACCCGGCGAAAGUCGGACUAAUACCGCAUAAAACAGGGGCACCGCAUGGUGAUAUUUGUUAAAGAAAUUCGCUGAUAGAUGGGCAUGCGUUCCAUUAGGUAGUUGGUGAGGUAACGGCUCACCAAGCCGACGAUGGAUAGGGGAACUGAGAGGUUGGUCCCCCACACUGGUACUGAGACACGGACCAGACUCCUACGGGAGGCAGCAGUGAGGAAUAUUGGUCAAUGGGCGGGAGCCUGAACCAGCCAAGUCGCGUGAAGGAAAGAAGGAUCUAUGGUUCGUAAACUUCUUUUGCAGGGGAAUAAAGUGCAGGACGUGUCCUGUUUUGUAUGUACCCUGAGAAUAAGGAUCGGCUAACUCCGUGCCAGCAGCAGC
rnacentral:rRNA from 1 species